CAGUAGUUUUCCUAAUCUAAUCUAAUAGUUGUUGAGAUAUUGACCAAACAACUGUUAGUCUUGACCAAACUGGUAGACCAACCAUAGACUAUAUAAAUAAAAAUGGACUCAAUGUGGUCAGCUUAAAAAACAAAAAUGGGCAAAAAGUGAGGCGUGGGUGGAACUGAGGCAGGCUGGAUAAAGCCUGCUUACUGAAAACAGCCACUUGUGACAGCACUCACCUGUCAUUCAAAGCAGCCGCACUCUUAAUUAUGCAUAACUUUUCUCCUUAAUAUAAUUUAAACGGAUGAGUUAUGUAAAGAUUUACUCCCCGCAUAGUUGUCAUGAAUUAAAUUUUUUUAAUUCAAUUCAAUUCAGUUUUAUUUGUAAAGCGCCAAUUCAUAGCAAAAGUUACCUCAGGACACUUUUCUUAUAGAGCAGGUUUUAUACCGUAUUCCUUAUAACAUUAUUUACCGAGACCCAACAGUUCCACAUGUUCCACCAUGAGCAAGUACUUGGCAGCGGUGGCAAGGAAAAAUUUCCUUUUAAGAGGCAGAAACCUCGGACAGACCCCAGCUGAAUGAGAAAAUGAGCUAGAGAGACUAAAACAGUUUUUUUGUACCAGGCUGUAAACAUUUUUGUUUCUGCUGUAAAGGGCAUUUUUAUAUGGGGCCUUAUGGAGUUUGAGUCACUGCUGGAGCCAGCCUCAAGUGGAAGUUAGAGGGCCUGCAGAUUUUGUUACUUCUCUGUUACUUCAUUUGCAGCCACCGGGGUUGCAGCUUGGGACCAACAAAAAAACAUUGCCAUCUGUGACAAACUUAACACAGUAAUGACAGUGUUAUUUCAGUUACUUUUAUUGUUAUUUUCAUUACACAGCUUUAAAUUGUGUGUCGGAUUUAGUGGCAUAUAGUGGUGAAGUUCCAACUAACUGAACACCACUUGCUUCGUAUUUAAUGACCUGUGAAGGAGAACGUUCUGUGAAGUGUGUAAGAGAAAUUGGCCCUGUUGAGAGCUAGUGUUUGAUUUGUCUCCUCUGGGCUACUGUAGAAACACGUCGGCUCAACAUGGCGGGCUCCAUGGAAGGCAACCCACUCCCUCUGUAGAUAUAAACAGCUCAUUCUAAGCUCAGAGGAAGAUGAGUCAACAGCAGCACAGCACAUGAAAGCAGCCAAAUCUGAAUUUCACAAUCAAGAUUGUGAACAGAAUUUCACAAUCAAGUCACCCUUGGUUUAACUCAUCGGCUUUUCAACCCAAGCUUGGGACCUUUAUAUUGUUUGGAAUGGUGGAGCCUGUGAAGCUGAGAGUCAUCAUCGAGGAGGAUGACUUCAGAAGACUUGAUCUCCACUCAGGAAAGCCAAAGACUUUAAUGGACUUGCACAAUACAAUUCAUGAUGCAUUUGGAAUUGAAAGAGGCUUUCGCAUUCAGUUCAUGGAUCCUGACUUCAAUAAUGAGUUCAUGAACAUUACAUCGAUGCAAGACAUUCAAGACAGAGGAACAAUUAAGCUUGUGUACAUGCAAAAUGAUCUGGAUAUGAGUCCCACUUCGAGGCUGAACUCUCCAAGCACUCCUGGACCAUCUGCAAGUCCAUCAAACAUUCACACAUCUCACAGUGUGUCCUCAUUGUCUUCAUCUGACUCCGACACCACCAUCAUUCUGUCCCAUUCAGACAGUGAGCUGAGAGCACGUGCAUGGACUUCACCAUUCCUCGCUUUCCAUAUGAUGUGGAGGUGCAGCUUCAGUGGGGAAAUGAGAUAUUCAGAGAGACUGGCACAAGUCUGAAGAUUACACCAGGGUUGAAGUCUGACAUCCUAGAAAAGCUGGCUGAAGACAUUUUCCAGUACACAGCAUAUCCACAAAAUCACCAGAUAGAUGAUGUAGCAGGGGCACUCAUCAAAAAAUUUCCCUGUUUGCGAGAGUUGUCUGCCACUGGAUACUACAGCUGGAUGAUUAGCCUGAAAUACAAAAUGGCUAAUUACCGUACAAAGAUGCAGAACAUUGGAUGUCCUGAAGUGACUGUUAAUGCGUUGCAAAAUAAAUUGAGAUGAAUGCUUCCCAGCCAGAAAUGUAAAGAAGGCUAAAAAGGCAGAGGUCAACUAUUGUCCUUCUUAUCCCACUGGUGAAACAGAUGAAAGUCUGGAAAAAUUGAGAGUUGAACUUUUGAAUGAUGUCAGACAAAGAAACAGGGCAUCAAAUGUAAGACAGAAGAUGUCUAAAACUUUCUCCUACUGAAGAAAAGAAGUAGUGCAUGGAAGUCCAGGUGCUGUAGAGUUUAAAGUGAGGUGGCCUGCACUUUUCCAUAUUGAUGAGAUAAAUGCUGAAUUUCAGCGAAUUACAACACAUCCACUUGAGACAACCUUCAUGGCACAGUUGGACAGUCUUCAGCCUCAGCUCACAUCAGUUUUCCAGAGGAAGGGAGUUGUCACAGGCCAGAAACUAGCCAUCUGCAGAUCUUACAAGAGAGGCUACAAGUGAUGUUCAUUCAAAAAGGGCAGCAGUCCUCAGGGCACUUUGCCUCUACCUUGGUGAGGAUGAUGGACAUCUUAUCCAUGAGU